UACAGAGGUCUCGAGCGUUAGGCGGAAUCACUGGGCUUAAAGCGCGUGUAGGCGGGUCGUUAAGGGUCCGCGUGAAAUCCCACGGCUCAACCGUGGAACUGCCGGGCAUACUGGCGAUCUUGAGGCAUUCAGGGGCGAGCGGAACAAAUGGUGGAGCGGUGAAAUGCGUAGAUAUCAUUUGGAACGCCAAUGGUGAAAACAGCUCGCUGGGAAUGAUCUGACGCUGAGACGCGAAAGCCAGGGGAGCGAACGGG
rnacentral:rRNA from 1 species